rnacentral:rRNA from 1 species
ACUCAAAGGAAUAGACGGGGGCCCGCACAAGCGGCGGAGCAUGUUGCUUAAUUCGACGCGACGCGAAGAACCUUACCAAGGUUUGACAUGGCCGGAAAACUCGUAGAGAUACGGGGUCCUUCGGGGCCGGUCACAGGUGGUGCAUGGCUGUCGUCAGCUCGUGUCGUGAGAUGUUGGGUUAAGUCCCGCAACGAGCGCAACCCUCGUCCCAUGUUGCCAGCAGGUAAAGCUGGGGACUCAUGGGAGACUGCCGGGGUCAACUCGGAGGAAGGUGGGGAUGACGUCAAGUCAUCAUGCCCCUUAUGUCUUGGGCUGCAAACAUGCUACAAUGGCCGGUACAAAGCGCUGCGAGCCCGCGAGGGUAAGCGAAUCGCGGAAAGCCGGUCUCAGUUCGGAUCGGGGUCUGCAACUCGGCCCCGUGAAGCUGGAGUCGCUAGUAAUCGCAGAUCAGCAACGCUGCGGUGAAUACGUUCCCGGGCCUUGCACACACCGCCCGU